rnacentral:lncRNA from 13 species
AUAACUAGAUCUAUUGAUACAGUAGCUUACUAUACAGUAUCGUUAUACAGCAUUGAUAUACAGCAUUGAUAUACAGCAUUGAUAUACAGCAUUGAUAUACAGCAUUGAUAUACAGCAUUGAUAUACAGCAUUGAUAUACAGCAUUGAUAUACAGCAUUGAUAUAAAGUCAAUCACUGAUUUAGCAACAUAAUGUCUCCUAUACAAAGGUAAAGGCCUUUUCCGGUACAACCCUCUAACAGAACAGAACAGGAAGAACAGGUACAGGAAUAUAAUCAGGAAUCCUGACCAAUUACCCUCCUUUCGUUUUUUCUCUUAAAAUAACGAUCUGUAUUAUGUAACGACACCAAACGUAACAUGGAAAGUCUUGGAUUUACUUACAGAAUAAUAUGAACUGCUCUGAGACCAGGUUGGCCUACAGCACAGAACAGAAAACAGUCACAAGAAUAUAAUCAUUACAGCUGCAGUAUGUCACAUUUUGGGGGGCGACCUGACCAAAUUCAUAUAGAAAUGUGAGUAAAAUGUCACGUUCUGACCUUAGUUCCUUUUUUAUGUCUUUGUGUUAGGUUGGUCAGGGCGUGAGUUGGGGUGGGUAGUCUAUGUUCUUUUUUUCUAUGUUAUAUUUCUAUGUGUUUGGCCUAGUAUGGUUCUCAAUCAGAGGCAGGUGUCGUUCGUUGUCUCUGAUUGAGAAUCAUACUUAGGUAGCCUGUUUUUCCCCCAUUUUGGUUGUGGGUGUUUGCUUUCUGUUUUUGUGUCGGCGCCAGACAGAACUGUUUUGGUUGUGGGUGUUUGCUUUCUGUUUUUGUGUCGGCGCCAGACAGAACUGUUUUGGUUGUGGGUGUUUGCGGUUGUGGGUGUCUGCGCCAGACAGAACUGUUUUGGUUGUGGGUGUUUGCGUUCUGUUUUUGUGUCUGCACCAGACAGAACUGUUUCGGUUGUGGGUGUUUGCUUUCUGUUUUUGUGUCUGCACCAGACAGAACUGUUUCGGUUGUGGGUGUUUGCGUUCUGUUUUUGUGUCUGCACCAGACAGAACUGUUUCGGUUGUGGGUGUUUGCUUUCUGUUUUUGUGUCUGCACCAGACAGAACUGUUUCGGUUGUGGGUGUUUGCUUUCUGUUUUUGUGUCGGCGCCAGACAGA